GUGGGAGGGGUUGCUAGGGGCAGGGGGAGUUAUUAUUUGUAUGGCUACGGGAGCAGCGCCGCCCAGGGUCAGGGGCAAGUGGGGUAGUUUGCCCCGGCGGCGGGGGGCCCCUCAGUGCUGGCGAAGACGCGGGCCGCCCCCGGGACUUGAAUCCUACAUCACUUUUUAGAAAAACCUCUUGAAAUUCUACCAGUAAAGUGGUUAGAGAUACAGGGGAGUUCUCUGCCCUGUGUAACAAAGCUUUCCUGCUGGUACUAUACUGAUGGUUUAUUUACAUUACUACUAUCACCAUCCUCUCUCCCUCCACGUGCACAACAACAGAAGGUACGGUGUGUUUUCUUCUUUUAGCAGCCUUGCCUAAUGUUUUGACCCUUUAAAAUCUAAGCUCGUUUACAAAAAAAGGUGCCUCUUCAGAGAAGUUAACUCAAAUUAUGUGCACUUGACUUAUUUCUGUUGUGUUAGCCUAUCCAAGGUGACAACAAAUAUGCUGCUCUCCCACACUGCUUCCACUGUAAUGCCUCAAUGCUGCAUUCAGAUCCUUGCAAACCCAAGGGUCAAACCAUACAGAUGUGACUGAAGCAUCAAGACACACAUAUGCUCCAUUUACAAGUUAAAAAAAAACACAUCUAACUGACACCCCAAAUUCAGCCUGGACUCCAAGAGUCAAGCUGGUUUCUGUCCAUCUCAUCCACCAUCACUAGUCACAGGGACAAAGAUAUCAGCACUUAAAUAGUUCUGCUGAUGAUGCUACAGGAACCAGAAGAAAAACUGGCUCAUUUUGCCAUAGCUGUAUUGGCUAAAUUCAUGCAGAUCUGCCUCAAAACCAGAUGGUUAUACUGCUUAAGGUGUUAUUUUUACACUCAAUUUUUAAAAAUGUAAAUAGGGCAUAAAAAGUUAUAUUGUAUGUAUAGCCAAUCUUCUCUCUUCAUUCCAGAAAAUGACAUUAAUAAUGCCUGUGUGAAGUUACCUGUUACUAAUACUAACAGGUCAUUUGACAAUUCAUGCCACUAUGAGUCGUUUGGAGCAAGACUUAGAGAGUCCCUCCAUGUGCACGGUCACUCAAUUUGUAUUUUUAUUUUUCAUUUUUUUGCCUUCCACCAAAGGAUCUUAAGGAAUUUUUUCAGCAAACCUAGCAAACGCAGCAAAGGUUCUUGGACCAGGAUAUAUUCAUUAACUAGGAGAAAUGAGCUGUGGAAUAAUUCCAGCAACAGAGAUGAGAUCCAGGUGACUGGAGGCUUGAGGUUCCAGAAGCAACCUGUGUAAGGGAGGGACUGCACCAUUCAAUGGACACCCUCAAGUGAGAACCAUUCUAACACCACUUCUGGCUGCCCGUACGCUCCUGACUUCAUCCAUGACAAGCUUUCCAGCUCCUUCCAGCAGCUGCUCAAUCAUCCUGCACCCCAGCAAUGAGCCCACUUGCUUUGCUUCUUGCCAUAAAUGUUAUAUAAAAAAUCCUCCCAGUUGGUCUCUGUAGUGAUAUUCUUAAAUUAAAGGAAGAUAAAGUGGUAACUAAGCUGCUUUUUUAUUAUCCCAGUUACUGGAAGAGAAUUUUGGAGAAUUCUUAUAAUUGUUAUAUUUGUAUUAUAGUUAUGUCCAGAUUAGGACUCCAUUAUGCCAGACACUAUAUAUAUGCAUAUUGAUGGACAGUCUCUGCCUCCAAAGAACUUACAGUGUAAAUAGACAGGACAGGAAAAAGGAGGGAAAUACUAUUUCCCCAAAUUUACAGAUGGGGAACUGAGUCACAGAGAGAUUAAAUGACUGGACUAAUGUCAAACAGUCAAUCUGUGGCAGAGCUGUGAACUGAACCCAGAUCUCCUAAAUCUCAGUUCCAGGCCAAUGUCAUAAUCACAUGAUCGUCUUUACUCUCUCUAUACAACUAUUAAUAUGAAGAUCACUUCUCAGGAAAAGCAGUUGAAGCACAAAUUGUUAAUGUUUUUUGACCUGUCCUUAUAAAAAUGGAAAUCAUAGGUCAUUUUUCACUGUAGAAUGUUGAUUAGCAGAUCUUCAGGUAUAGCGUGAUUCAGUAGGAAGUUAGUAAAUUGUGUCUCUGUCCUAAGUUAAAAUGUAAUUUUUUUCUUCCAUUAAAUGAACUGUGAUACAUCUACACUGCUGUAUCCAUCAAAGAAUACUUGAUAAUGUUUUAUAGGAUGUUAAUUACAUGCUUCUUCCUGUCACUGACUUGAUAAAGAAAUAUCCUUUCUAGCUUACUUCACUCCUUGUAGUACUGCUUUUUUCCCACUGAGUGGCAUCAGGUUCAUUUCUGAAAAGCAAAAGCAAUUCAAACUAGCUUCCAUGUGGUUAUGGGACAUGGGAGAGGGAGAGAAAAUGGCAAUAGGUACAUUUGGGAAGCCACUUUAAAAGUACUCAUUGCUUUGUUAUACAGUACUAGAUGUUCCUUUGGAGAGAGGCCUUAGGCAUGCUAUACUAAUGAUUCCCUCUGUGUGGAAUGAGGGAGACCCAGGUGCACCCGAUCGGCAAUCCACAGACAUGAUCAGUGGAUAUCAGCAGAUUUUCAGGGCUCUAAAAACAGUAGUGGGCCAUGCCUGAUUUUAUGGUCUGGGAACAGUUUUUUUUAAAUGAAACAUCAAAAUGAGAGUGGCAACCAAUUCUCUUACUUCCUGGAGAUGUAAGAGAAGGAGCUGGAUGCCGAAUGUAUAUUGACAAUUUAAAAAAAAGGUUUGCUUCUGAUGCAGUGAGAGACAGAGUACAAGCAGGAGAUUACCAGUGUUUCCUAAGUUGUUACUGAAAAGCAAGGAGUGUAGCAGGUUCUUCAUCUCAUUAUGGAAAAAAUUACUUCACCAAAAAUAAAUCAGACAUGAGCAACA
ensembl:lncRNA